GAGUUUGAUCCUGGCUCAGGACUAACGCUGGCGGCAUGCCUAAUACAUGCAAGUCGAACGGAGUAGCAAUACUUAGUGGCGAACGGGUGAGUAACACGUAUCUAAUCUACCAUUUAGUGGGGAAUAACUGUUGGAAACGACAGCUAAUACCGCAUAAUAUUGCUGGAUAAUUUCCAGUAAUGAAAGGAGCUUUCAAGCUCCGCUGAUUGAUGAGGAUGCGGCGCAUUAGCUAGUUGGUAGGGUAAUGGCCUACCAAGGCAAUGAUGCGUAGCCGAUCUGAGAGGAUGAACGGCCACAUUGGGACUGAGACACGGCCCAAACUUCUACGGAAGGCAGCAGUAGGGAAUUUUUCACAAUGGGCGAAAGCCUGAUGGAGCAAUGCCGCGUGACUGAUGAAGGUCUUCGGAUUGUAAAGGUCUGUUGUAAGGGAAGA
rnacentral:rRNA from 1 species